UACGUAGGGUGCGAGCGUUAAUCGGAUUUACUGGGCGUAAAGCGUGCGCAGGCGGCCCGUUAAGACAGGUGUGAAAUCCCUGGGCUCAACCUAGGAAUUGCGCUUGUGACUGGCGGGCUCGAGUACGGUAGAGGGGGGUGGAACUCCUGGUGUAGCAGUGAAAUGCGUAGAGAUCAGGAGGAACACCGAUGGCGAAGGCAGCCCCCUGGGCCUGUACUGACGCUCAUGCACGAAAGCGUGGGGAGCAAACAGG
rnacentral:rRNA from 1 species